rnacentral:rRNA from 1 species
GAUGAACGCUAGCUACAGGCUUAACACAUGCAAGUCGAGGGGCAGCAUGAAUAUUGGCUUGCCAAUAUUUGAUGGCGACCGGCGCACGGGUGAGUAACACGUAUCCAACCUUCCGGUUACUCGUGGAUAGGCUUUCGAAAGAAAGAUUAAUACCCGAUGUUGUGUAUCUUUCUCCUGAAAGAUACGCCAAAGGAUUCCGGUAACCGAUGGGGAUGCGUUCCAUUAGGCAGUUGGCGGGGUAACGGCCCACCAAACCUUCGAUGGAUAGGGGUUCUGAGAGGAAGGUCCCCCACAUUGGAACUGAGACACGGUCCAAACUCCUACGGGAGGCAGCAGUGAGGAAUAUUGGUCAAUGGACGGAAGUCUGAACCAGCCAAGUAGCGUGAAGGAUGACUGCCCUCUGGGUUGUAAACUUCUUUUAUACGGGAAUAACAUGAGGUACGCGUACCUUAUUGCAUGUACCGUUAUGAAUAAGCAUCGGCUAACUCCGUGCCAGCAGCCGCGGUAAUACGGAGGAUGCGAGCGUUAUCCGGAUUUAUUGGGUUUAAAGGGAGCGUAGGUGGGAUAUUAAGUCAGCUGUGAAAGUUUGGGGCUCAACCUUAAAAUUGCAGUUGAUACUGGUUUCCUUGAGUACGGUACAGGUGGGCGGAAUUCGUGGUGUAGCGGUGAAAUGCUUAGAUAUCACGAAGAACUCCGAUCGCGAAGGCAGCUCACCGGGCCGGAACUGACACUGAUGCUCGAAAGUGCGGGUAUCAAACAGGAUUAGAUACCCUGGUAGUCCGCACAGUAAACGAUGAAUACUCGCUGUUUGCGAUACACUGUAAGCGGCCAAGCGAAAGCGUUAAGUAUUCCACCUGGGGAGUACGCCGGCAACGGUGAAACUCAAAGGAAUUGACGGGGGCCCGCACAAGCGGAGGAACAUGUGGUUUAAUUCGAUGAUACGCGAGGAACCUUACCCGGGCUUAAAUUGCGCUGGCUUUUACCGGAAACGGUAUUUUCUUCGGACCAGCGUGAAGGUGCUGCAUGGUUGUCGUCAGCUCGUGCCGUGAGGUGUCGGCUUAAGUGCCAUAACGAGCGCAACCCUUAUCUUUAGUUACUAACAGUUUUGCUGAGGACUCUAAAGAGACUGCCGUCGUAAGAUGCGAGGAAGGUGGGGAUGACGUCAAAUCAGCACGGCCCUUACGUCCGGGGCUACACACGUGUUACAAUGGGGAGCACAGCAGGUUGCUACACGGCGACGUGAUGCCAAUCCGUAAAACUCCUCUCAGUUCGGAUCGAAGUCUGCAACCCGACUUCGUGAAGCUGGAUUCGCUAGUAAUCGCGCAUCAGCCACGGCGCGGUGAAUACGUUCCCGGGCCU